GAAUGCGAUCAUACUAGCACUAAAGCACCGGAUCCCAUCAGAACUCCGAAGUUAAGCGUGCUUGGGCGAGAGUAGUACUAGGAUGGGUGACCUCCUGGGAAGUCCUCGUGUUGCAUUCC
rnacentral:rRNA from 1 species